GGUUCCUUAGUACAGUGGUUUAGUACCCGGGAUUUUGACCUUACAGCAUUCCCGUAACCCGGGUUCGAACCCCGGAGGAACCU
rfam:Trichosporon asahii var. asahii CBS 8904 unplaced genomic scaffold scaffold00190, whole genome shotgun sequence.